UCAAGCGUUUAAGGGCGUAUGGCGGAUGCCUAGGCACUGAAAGGCGAUGAAGGACGUGGUAUACUGCGAUAAGUUUCGGGGAGCCGUAUGCAGGCUUUGAUCCGAAAAUUUCCGAAUGGGAUAACCCACCACUUUUUGUGGUACUUUAAACUGAAUACAUAGGUUUAAAGAGCAAACCCGGAGAACUGAAACAUCUAAGUAACCGGAGGAAAAGAAAUCAAUUGAGAUUCCGUUAGUAGUGGCGAGCGAACGCGGAACAGGCCAGUAGCAAUAUUAAGAUAAUCUAAAUAGUUUGGAAAAGCUAACCAUAGAGGGUGAUAGUCCCGUAGGAGUAAUGCUUAAUGUUGUUCUUGAGUAGAACGGGACACGAGAAAUCUUGUUUGAAUAUAGGGGGACCACCCUCUAAGCCUAAAUACUCUUCAGUGACCGAUAGUGAACUAGUACCGUGAGGGAAAGGUGAAAAGAACCCCUAUUAGGGGAGUGAAAUAGAACCUGAAACUGCAUGCCUACAAUCAGUCCGAGCCUUUUUUAGGGUGAGGGCGUACCUUUUGUAUAAUGGGUCAGUGACUUAAUUUAUUAAGCAAGCUUAAGCCAUCUAGGUGUAGGCGCAGCGAAAGCAAGUCUUAAUAGGGCGAUUAGUUUAAUGAAUUAGACCCGAAAACGAAUGAGCUUACCAUGAGCAGGUUGAAAGUUGGGUAACACCAACCGGAGGACCGAACCAGUUGACGUUGAAAAGUCUUUGGAUGACUUGUGGUAAGGGGUGAAAGGCCAACCAAAUUCGUAGAUAGCUGGUUUUCCGCGAAAACUAUUUAGGUAGUGCGUUGAAUAAAUAGAUGUUUAGAGGUAGAGCACUAAAUGGGCUAGGGGGAAGAGAUUCUUACCAAACCUAAUAAAACUCCGAAUGCUAGACAUUGUUCUUCAACAGACAGACUGUGGGUGCUAAGGUCCAUGGUCGAGAGGGAAAGAGCCCAGACCACCAGAUAAGGUCCCCAAAUUAUGAUUAAGUGUGAAAGGAUGUGGAAAUUCCUUAACAGCCGGGAGGUUGGCUUAGAAGCAGCCAUCCUUUAAAGAUAGCGUAACAGCUCACCGGUCUAAUAGAGUUUCUGCGCCGAAGAUGUAACGGGGCUAAAAUCAUGUACCGAAUCUGUGGCUUUGCAAAGUUUUCGAACUUUGUAAGGGGUAGCGGAACGUUCUGUAAGCCUGCGAAGGGAUACCCGUGAGGGAUCCUGGAGGUAUCAGAAGUGCGAAUGCUGACAUAAGUAACGAUAAACGAAGUGAAAAACUUCGUCGCCGAAAAUCUAAGGGUUUCUAUGCAAGGUUAAUCCGCGUAGAGUUAGUCGGCACCUAAGGCGAGGGCGAAAGCCGUAGUCGAUGGAAACAAGGUUAAUAUUCCUUGACCUGAUGGUAGUGACGGAUUUCGUAAGUUGUGAGUUCUUAAUGGAUUGAACUUGCCGCGAAGAGGUCCCAAGAAAUAGCUCCAUCAUGAAGACCGUACCCGAAACCGACACAGGUAGAUUAAUAGAGUAUAUUUAGGCGCUUGAGAGAAUGAUGUUGAAGGAACUCGGCAAAAUGCUUCCGUAACUUCGGGAUAAGGAAGACCUUUUUGUAGGCAACUAUAGAAGGGUGGCACAAGCCAGGGAGAAGCGACUGUUUAUCAAAAACACAGGGCUCUGCUAACACGUAAGUGGAUGUAUAGGGUCUGACGCCUGCCCGGUGCUGGAAGGUUAAUGCGGUUGGUGCAAGCUAACUUCUGAAGCCCCAGUAAACGGCGGCCGUAACUAUAACGGUCCUAAGGUAGCGAAAUUCCUUGUCGGGUAAGUUCCGACC
rnacentral:rRNA from 1 species